rnacentral:rRNA from 1 species
AGAAUCAACGCUGGCGGCGUGCCUAACACAUGCAAGUCGCACGAGAAAGGGUAGCAAUACCUGAGUACAGUGGCGCACGGGUGAGUAACACGUGAAUAAUCUACCUCCGAGUGGGGAAUAACUGAGAGAAAUCUUAGCUAAUACCGCAUAACACUUACGAGUCAAAGCAGCAAUGCGCUUGGAGAGGAGUUCGCGGCCGAUUAGUUAGUUGGCGGGGUAAUGGCCCACCAAGACGAUGAUCGGUAUCCGGCCUGAGAGGGCGCACGGACACACUGGAACUGAAACACGGUCCAGACUCCUACGGGAGGCAGCAGUGGGGAAUUUUGCGCAAUGGGGGAAACCCUGACGCAGCAACGCCGCGUGGAGGAUGAAGCCCCUUGGGGUGUAAACUCCUUUCGAUCGGGAAGAUAAUGACGGUACCGAUAUAAGAAGCCCCGGCUAACUUCGUGCCAGCAGCCGC